UAGAGUAAUGCGUGACCAACCUGCCCCAUGCUCCAGAAUAGCUCUUGGAAACGGGUGGUAAUGCUGGAUGCUCCAACUUGACGCAUGUCUUGUUGGGAAAGUGUUUAGUGGCAUGGGAUGGGGUCGCGUCCUAUCAGCUUGUAGGCGGGGUAAUGGCCCACCUAGGCUUCGACGGGUAGCCGGCCUGAGAGGGCGGACGGCCACAUUGGGACUGAGAUACGGCCCACGACUCCUACGGGAGGCAGCAGGC
rnacentral:rRNA from 1 species